UUUUAGCCCGGACAGGAGCGAUAUCCUUUUUUGAGGCCUUUUUUGGCCUCAAAAAAGAUAAAGCGGAUAGCCGGAUAAGCU
rnacentral:sRNA from 1 species